CAGCAGCCACGGGAAUACGAGGGGAGCUAGCGUUGUUCGGAAUUACUGGGCGUAAAGCGCGCGUAGGCGGCUUUUUAAGUCAGAGGUGAAAGCCCGGGGCUCAACCCCGGAAUCGCCUUUGAAACUGGAAAGCUAGCAGGUGAGAGAGGUAAGUGGAAUUCCGAGUGUAGAGGUGAAAUUCGUAGAUAUUCGGAAGAACACCAGUGGCGAAGGCGGCUUACUGGCUCAUACUGGACGCUGAGGUGCGAAAGCGUGGGGAGCAAACAGGAUUAGAUACCCGCGUAGUCCCUGUCUCUUAUAC
rnacentral:rRNA from 1 species